rnacentral:misc_RNA from 1 species
GAUGAAGAACGCAGCGAAAUGCGAUACUUGGUGUGAAUUGCAAAUUCAGUGAAUCAUCGAGUCUUUGAACGCACAUUGCGCCCCCUGGUAUUCCGGGGGGCAUGCCUGUCCGAGCGUCAUUGCUGCCCUCAAGCACGGCUUGUGUGUUGGGCCCCGUCCUCCGAUCCCGGGGACGGGCCCGAAAGGCAGCGGCGGCACCGCGUCCGGUCCUCGAGCGUAUGGGGCUUUGUCACCCGCUCUGUAGGCCCGGCCGGCGCUUGCCGAUCAACCCAAAUUUUUAUCCAGGUUGACCUCGGAUCAGGUAGGGAUACCCGCUGAACUUAAGCAUAUCAAUAAGCGGAGGA